CCUUUUCCCACUUUUGAGACAAAGUUGGUGUCUGCCCUAAUUUUUUUGCCCUGCCUGGCUGAAAGAUGGAGGUCACUACGUUUGUCAGAUAUACCAAACCCAAAGCUGGAGGAGAUGGUGAAAGAUACACAUGCAUGCACAUACCAGUCAUCAGAGAAAGGGAUCUUUAUGUCUCAUCUCCUGGUGUUUAAUGCAUUGAAUCUCGUCCGUGAAGUACUCAGCCGUUUGAAGAUCGGAGUAUAAACUUUCUAACUGAGAAUCACGAGCUUAUAUUAGUUACCGAAUACACGGAGAAACUAAGGCCGAAGCCUUGGAACAGAUAGGUAUAUACAGUCCGGUUGCGAGGGAGGAGAGGUCUGACUAGCAAUCAGAUCAGCUUCAUCAAGCAUUUAGUGCCUCUUUGAUUCAUGAGAUUUUGAAAACAUAAAAACAGGACAAACACAAGAAUUGAUAG
rnacentral:lncRNA from 1 species